AUUGAACGCUGGCGGCAUGCUUUACACAUGCAAGUCGAACGGUAACAGGUUAAGCUGACGAGUGGCGAACGGGUGAGUAAUGCAUCGGAACGUGCCCGAUCGUGGGGGAUAACGCAGCGAAAGCUGCGCUAAUACCGCAUACGAUCUGAGGAUGAAAGCGGGGGACCGUAAGGCCUCGCGCGAUCGGAGCGGCCGAUGUCAGAUUAGGUAGUUGGUGGGGUAAAGGCCCACCAAGCCGACGAUCUGUAGCUGGUCUGAGAGGACGACCAGCCACACUGGGACUGAGACACGGCCCAGACUCCUACGGGAGGCAGCAAUGGGGAAUUUUGGACAAUGGGCGCAAGCCUGAUCCAGCAAUGCCGCGUGCAGGAUGAAGGCCUUCGGGUUGUAAACUGCUUUUGUACGGAACGAAACGGCCCUUUCUAAUACAGGGGGCUAAUGACGGUACCGUAAGAAUAAGCACCGGCUAACUACGUGCCAGCAGCCGCCGUAA
rnacentral:rRNA from 1 species